CCUACGGGUGGCAGCAGUGGGGAAUAUUGCACAAUGGGGGAAACCCUGAUGCAGCGACGCAGCGUGAGCGAAGAAGUAUUUCGGUAUGGAAAGCUCUAUCAGCAGGGAAGAAAAUGACGGUACCUGAGUAAGAAGCUACGGCUAAAUACGUGACAGCAGCCGCGGUAAUACGUAUGGAGGAAGCGUUAUCCGGAUUUACUGGGUGUAAAGGGAGCGCAGGGGGCCUUGCAAGUCUGAUGUGAAAUACCGGGGCUCAACCCCGGAGCUGCAAGUGAAACUGUGAGGCGUGAGUGUCGGAGAGGUAGGCGGAAUUCCUAGUGUAGCGGUGAAAUGUGUAGAUAUUAGGAGGAACACCAGUGGCGAAGGCAGCCUGCUGGACGAUGACUGACGCUGAGGCUCGAAAGCGUGGGGAGCAAACAGGAUUAGAGACCCUGGUAGUC
rnacentral:rRNA from 1 species